rnacentral:rRNA from 1 species
AGAGUUUGAUCAUGGCUCAGAUUGAACGCUGGCGGCAUGCUUUACACAUGCAAGUCGAACGGCAGCACGGGGGCAACCCUGGUGGCGAGUGGCGAACGGGUGAGUAACACAUCGGAACGUGUCCUGUUGUGGGGGGAUAACCCACCGAAAGGUGAGCUAAUACCGCAUGACCUCGGGAGAGAAAAGCAGGGGACCUGCAAGGGCCUUGCGCGAUUGGAGCGGCCGAUGUCCGAUUAGCUAGUUGGUAGGGUAAAGGCCUACCAAGGCGACGAUCGGUAGCUGGUCUGAGAGGAUGAUCAGCCACACUGGGACUGAGACACGGCCCAGACUCCUACGGGAGGCAGCAGUGGGGAAUUUUGGACAAUGGGGGCAACCCUGAUCCAGCCAUGCCGCGUGAGUGAAGAAGGCCUUCGGGUUGUAAAGCUCUUUCGGUGGGAACGAAACGGUGGAUGCUAAUACUAUCCACUACUGACGGUACCUACAGAAGAAGCACCGGCUAACUACGUGCCAGCAGCCGCGGUAAUACGUAGGGUGCGAGCGUUAAUCGGAAUUACUGGGCGUAAAGCGUGCGCAGGCGGUUUGCUAAGACAGGUGUGAAAGCCCCGGGCUUAACCUGGGAAUUGCGCUUGUGACUGGCAGACUGGAGUGUGGCAGAGGGAGGUGGAAUUCCCGUGUAGCAGUGAAAUGCGUAGAGAUGUGGAGGAACACCGAUGGCGAAGGCAGCCUCCUGGGCCAGCACUGACGCUCAUGCACGAAAGCGUGGGGAGCAAACAGGAUUAGAUACCCUAGUAGUCC